UGAUGGCACUGGCGCUCAUUGCCUUU
rnacentral:piRNA from 1 species